rnacentral:tRNA from 1 species
CUAAAAUAUUUUCUUGACAAACUUUGCUUAACAGUGUAAUAUUGUAAACAUGGUCUCCCACCUUUUCUGGCGGCUAAGGUGUAAAAGAAAGCCACCCAGUGCCCUGUUAGCUUAGUGGAUAAAGCAGCGGCCUUCUAAGCCGUUGACACUGGUUCGAGUCCAGUACGGGGUGCCA